rnacentral:scRNA from 1 species
AUUACGCCCUGGCUCUCAACCAGGCCCAGAAC